GGAGCCCGGGGAAGCGGGAAGUAAGCCGGAAACGCGAAUUCCCAAGCUUCUAAAGGUUGGCUUGAGAGCCUGCCGCACAACUAGGUACUACUUCACCAGUUACUCUGGACAAUAACAAAACAAAUAAAAGCCCGAACCCAAACCCUCUCACCAUCAUAGGUCUGUAAUUACUCUGGAAUCAGUAAGCCAUGGCGUCAAAGAAAUUUGCUGUUAAGGGGAAAUUUGGACGCAGUCACACGCAGAGGGAAGACCAUGUGAAGACACUGGGAGAACACAGUCUGCAAGCCCAGGAAAGCCUGCAGCCACCAGAAGCCUGGAGUGAGGCCUGGAACAGCUUCUUAUCACAGCCCGCCCAGAGGAACCCACCCUGCGACACCUUCAUUUCAGACUUCUAGGCCAAGAACUGUGAGACAAUACAUUCCUGUUGUUUUAAGCCACCCAGUUUUUGGUACUUUGCUAUGGCAGCCCCAGGAAACGAAUACAGCCCUGAUCCCCUAGAAGGCACAGAACUGUGAGCAAGCCUCUCAACGUCCUGGGCUUCUGCUUCCUCAUUUAUGAAAUAACAGCCCGGGAGUACAUGAUCUCAGGACCUUCCUGCUCUGACACUUGGUGAUUAGUUCUUCAAAAAGUGCACUCAAUUUCUGUUGUUAUAUUUCCUAAUGUAGCUAAAAUAUGCAAAGAAUAUGUAUUUUUUUCAGUUCCCAGUUUUGUUCUUUUCAUUCAGGAGUCAUUGGUGAUACUUCCCUUUAAGCGAGAUAUUGGGUAAGGCUGUCACUUCCAAGUUAACACGCUAGACAAAUGACAGCAUGUCUAGUCUGUAUAGAGUAUAUAACCAAAGAACAUACCACUUAAAAGCAUUUAACUAUUGUUGACUGGCUGGGGGUUAGCAUAUGUUGAAUGUCAGUUCAUUAACGUUUCUUCCCUAGAUUUGAGGAUUGACUUCUUUUAGACACCCACAGGCUUAUUCUAGUCUUCCCAAAGGAACCUCCCACAUAGAUACCGGCCACUCCUUUAUUUGCUAAAUGCCUCACCUCAGUAAACAGUAGCGCAAGCAGCACCCUCUGCACCGUGGGGUGUUCUUCACGCCAAACUUUGCUGUAAGUGAAGGUCUUCUUUCUUGACUUGUCAGUAGGUUACAGUUGGGUCCACUGAUGCAGCAAAAUCAAGACAUUGUAUUUGGUGCUUUCCUAGAGGGAAAGAGUGAGGAAACAGUCACCCGCCUCUUCACCAAUAAAUAUCUCUCCUGAUAUAGUCAGCAGCCAAAACCUACAAGAUAUGUUUGAAAUAAUGUUGGCUUUGGACCUUCUCCUUAGAUUUUUUUUUUUCUCUUUCUUUUCCUUAGUCCCUAUGUUACAGUGGAUAAUAUUUUUAAAAUGUGCCUUAAACUUUUUAAGGAAAGAUAAGUAAUAUAAAAUUAUCUUCCUAUUAUAAAAAAAAUCAUUGUGUAUUAGGUUCAAAGUAUAGAAAGGACAAGAUAAAUGAAAUGGUUGAUACCACUUGCCCUCCUGUCUGAGGCUCUCUCAUGGUCUUCCUAUUUUCCUCAGAACCCUUUUAUAUCUUCUUCCUCUGCUAGAAUAUUCCCUGUCCUCAAUCUGCUGGGACAGAAAGACCAAGGGGUCAGGUUAGGCCUAGGGAGAGAGUUUUAAAAGAGAAUGGGAGGGGCUUCCCUGGUGGCGCAGUGGUUGAGAAUCUGCCUGCUAAUGCAGAGGACACGGGUUCGAGCCCUGGUCUGGGAAGAUCCCACAUGCCGCGGAGCAACUAGGCCCGUGAGCCACAACUACUGAGCCUGCGCCUCUGGAGCCUGUGCUCCGCAACAAGAGAGGCCGCGAUAGUGAGAGGCCCGCGCACCGCGAUGAAGAGUGGCUCCCGCUUGCCACAACUACAGAAAGCCCUCGCACAGAAACGAAGACCCAACACAGCCAAAAAUAAAUUUAAAAAAACCCCCCAAAAAACAACGUUUGCCUUUGUUCGUUUAUUUAAAAAAAAAAAAAAAAAGAGAAUGGGAGUAGUCCUGGCGGGGUAUGGCUGAAUGGGCCUUAAUGGCUCUAUUUUCUUUGUACUCCUUAGUGAAAGGGAUAGAGACAUGGUUAAUAAGGACAGUUUCACUAUAAUCAGCCAAAUUAAAGGAAAUGAUUUUAUUCACAUCUUUAAUGAAGCUUAUCUGGUUCUUCAAGAAUUACUGUGCUGUCUUCUGAAGUAUUUUAACACAUGCAUGCCGUGUUUUUCAUGCAUUAUGUCUCACUCUUGGAAAUCCAGUCUGAUUUAAAUUUUCUUCUUCAUUUAAUUCUACUCCACCUGUUUAUCUUUCAUAGGUUAAAACACAGGGAAGGGCCUAAAAAUGUCCUUAGUGUUAGUAUAUAUUCUAAAGAGGCUCCAAUGAAUCACCUGUAUGGGUUAUAAAGAAUGACACACCUUAGAAAAAUAUUAUCACCUUGAGAGGCCUCAGGAAACAAC